AACGAACGCUGGCGGCGUGCUUAACACAUGCAAGUCGAACGCGAACGGGUUCUUCGGGACCUUAGUAGAGUGGCGCACGGGUGAGUAACGCGUAAGUUAUCUACCUCGGCAUCUGGAAUAACUCACCGAAAGGUGUGCUAAUACCGGAUACGUUGAGUAAUCAAGAAAGGUGGCCUCUGCAUAUGCUACCGUGCUGAGAUGAGCUUGCGUACCAUUAGCUAGUUGGUAGGGUAAUGGCCUACCAAGGCGACGAUGGUUAGCUGGUCUGAGAGGAUGAUCAGCCACACUGGAACUGAGACACGGUCCAGACUCCUACGGGUGGCUG
rnacentral:rRNA from 1 species